UUGCAGGCAGAUUCUUUACCAGUUGAGCCACAAGGGAAGCCCAUAUAGGGACUCUACUAUUUUUCCAACAUUUCUUUUUGGCUUAAUGUAUUUCAAAAUAAAAAUUUUAAGAUGUUGUUGUUGUUGUUGCUGUAUAUUUUGAAAUCCACAAUGGCUUCUCUCUUGAGAUUUCAGGGCCCAUCCCAGGAGGCGUAGGGCUUAUAAGCCUGAAAGCAUAGCCACAAAAUUGAUUGUAUAUUGGGCUACCUGUUUUCAAGAGCUUCCUAUAACCCACUAAAUUAUUAUUUAGUUUCCAAACACUGUGACUAUGUCCUCAUUUCUAUAAUUAUAGCUUCACAUUUAAAAGCUCUGUAUUGGUUCCAUCCAAACAAUAUGCUCUAAUUCAUUUAGCCCAUCUCCUUUUGUUGUUCAUUUUAGUGGUCUUCAAGCUUUUGCUACAAUAAACAAUACUCUGAUAUAAAAUACUUCAUAAUAUCUUGGAUGGUUUCCUUGGGAUGAAUUUUUAGAUUUGUAGUUUUCUUUCUUAUGACUAUUUAAGUAUCGGUCUUCUACUUUACAAACUCUUAAGGUCCUACUCGGAGGAGUGUCUCAUUAAUCUUCUGAGGCCUUAGGAGGUGGCUCUCACAACAUUUAAAAGUUGGUAGAAACAUUUUUUUAUCCGUUUUGAGUGUCAUUGUUUCCCACUAGACUUGGAGUCUCAAGAGAGGAAGCCAGACUAUUUUAUUAAUACAGCUGACCUUUGAACGAUGUAGGGAUUAGGGGCAACAAUGCAGGGCAGUCUAAAAUCCUCCUAUAACAUUACAGUCAGCCCUCCAGAUUCUGCAUCCUCGGAUUCAACCAAACUUGAAUCCAACCAACCUCACAUCAUGUAGUAAUGUAGUAGGUUAUUUAGUGAAAGAUAUCCACCUAUAAAUGGACUCUCACAGUUCAAACCCAUGUAAUCCAAAGGUCAUCUGUAUUUGAAUCUAGAGUUUGCCCACUAUUAAAUCUACAACAAGACGUUGUAGGCACCACUUACAUGUCUAUUAUUUAUUAUUGUACACAACUGGCACUCACAGAUUUUUUUCUUAAUCAUUUAUUUUACCUAAUUUCCCACACCAGUAGGGCAAAGCAGGCGAUUAAUAAUGCCCAUAGAUAGGAAUGAAUACUUGGCAAGAACGAACCCAUCUUCUAUCAGGCCUACCUUCCCCAAGAACCCACCUGCCAACGGAGGAGACGUAAGAGACGUGGGUUCCAUCCCUUGGUCAGGAAGAUCCCUUGGAGGAGGGCAUGGCAACCCACUCCAGUAUUCUUGUCUGGUGAAUCCCAUGGUCAGAGGAGUCUGACCUAUGGGCUAUGGUCCAUAAGGUCGCAGAGUCGGACACGACUGAACCGACUUAGCAUGCAUACAGCUUCCCUAAGAACUACAUUUCCCUCCAAGCUUGGUGUCACGCGCUCCUGUGAAGUAAAUAGAGCGGCAGUUACUUCCUACGGCCCCUUUCCGCCUUCGCCGGCCAAUGCCGCAAUGCUUCAUGGGAAGGGUAGUUCUACCGGUCGUGCUCAAGGCCCCGGCAAAGUGAGCGUAAACUAAGCUUCCCAGCGGGCAGCGCGACGGCCUGGGAAGAGGGGCAAGAUGGCGGACGCUGAAGAUGGUGUUUUGCGGCCGGUGGGAUCCUCCACUGCCCCAAUUUCGUUCAGCUUCAAUCGCACGUCCGCCCGCAGAUGGCUUGCGGGAGACGCGACUCCGGAGAAGAAGGAUUACUUGAAGACCGUGGAAGGCCGGGAGCUGCAGAGUGUGAAGCCCUCAGAAGCCCCCAAGGAACUUGUCAUCCCUUUGAUCCAGAAUGGCCAUCGAAGGCAGCCACCGACCCAGGCCCCUGGGCCAUCCACACAUACUGAGGUCUUGAUGGAUGGGAUCCUGUCCCAGGCUGUGAAGGAGCUCAUUGAGGAAUCCAAGAAGUCUCUGGAGGAGAGAGAGAAUGCGGGUGUCGACCCCACACUCGCUAUCCCCAUGAUCCAGAAAGGAUGCACCCCCAAUGGAGAAGGGACAGACAGCGAACCCCAGGCAGAGACAGUGCCGGAGGAGGCUGAUUACGAGGCAGUCCCUGUUGAGGCCUAUGGGCUGGCCAUGCUGCGGGGCAUGGGCUGGAAACCUGGCAAGGGCAUCGGCCGAACCUUCAGUCAAGUAGUGAAGCCCCGUGUCAAUUCACUUAGGCCCAAGGGAUUAGGGCUGGGCGCCAACCUGACUGAGGUCCAGGCCCUGGCCCCUACCAGCCCCUACCGCCUGCCAAGGCCAGAUGAGGAGCAAGAGAAGGAUAAGGAAGACCAGCCUCAAGGACUGGUGCCUGGAGGAGCUGUGGUGGUUCUUUCUGGCCCCCACCGAGGCCUCUAUGGGAAGGUGGAAGGCCUUGAUCCUGACAAUGUUCGAGCCAUGGUCCGUCUGGCUGUGGGGAGCCGCAUGGUGACUGUUAGUGAGUAUUGCCUGCGGCCUGUCUCCCAGAAGGAGUUUGACAAGAACUUGAAUCUGAGUCAAGUGAGCAGAACUUCCCCUGGGGAACAGCACAGAACAACCUCAUCACGGAAGACCCUCCAGGAUCAGGACAGCCACAUGUGGUGGGAGGAUUCAGAGAGGAAGCGGAAACACCAUUCAGACCGACAAGAUGGGCCUGCAGCCAAGAAUGAGAAAGCAGCCCCCCGGAGUCAGCACUGGCUGCACAGAGAUCUGCGAGUGCGGUUUGUGGACAAGCUGCACAAGGGCGGCCAGUAUUACAACACCAAGAUGACAAUUGAAGAUGUCCUGAGCCCAGACACCUGUGUGUGUCGGACAGACGAAGGCCAAGUCUUGGAAGGCCUAAGGGAAGACAUGCUGGAGACCCUGGUCCCCAAGGUCCCAGGUGACCAAGUGAUGGUGGUGCUGGGGCAAUGGGCUGGAAGGGUGGGCCGUCUGCUGGACCGGGACAGAACACGGAGCCGGGCUCUGGUACAGCUGCAGAGAGAAGACAGGGUGGUGGAGCUUCACUAUGAUGCCAUCUGCCAGUUUGUGGGCCUCUGGGACAUGGAGGAAGACUGACCUGUGGACUCACUCCCAUCCCCCGGGCUGUUUCCAGUCCUGUACAAUGUGAAAAGCCCGCCUUUGUGAAGAUCUAGGCUUCUGGUAUACACUCCUGAUGCUUCAGAACAGGGCACCACUGUGGAGAAUUUGAAUACUUCCCCCUCAAGAAGAAGAAUAAAGGUAAGCUGCUGUCUACACCAAGCAGAAGCAGAUUAUUGUUCUGAGCCAAAAUGAGCAGGUAUAGAAAGACAAUGAGUUGGCCAUAGGCGCAGUAAACUAAGGGAUUAGAAAACCUUCUAGUAUAGUCACCCCAAUAUGAGGGACACUUGCACAGACUGGCUUAUUUUUUUUAAAUCAUCCCUAAUUAAUUCCGGAACUCAUCUGUUUUCAAGAUUAGCUGAACAGGGUUAUUAAGGCAGAUACCAGAGAGCAACCCCACCCUCAGUCCCUCCAGUUCUUGUGUCAUCACUGUGAUUGUACACACUGCCCUGGAAUUACAGGCUGACUUGUGUUUUUAAUCUUGGAAAGGGUUGGGAGUUCUGUGCCUAGUCGCUCAGUUGUGUCUGACUCUGCCACCCCAUGGACUAGCCCACCAGGCUCCUCUGUC